rnacentral:rRNA from 1 species
GACAGAGGGGGCAAGCGUUGCUCGGAAUCACUGGACGUAAAGGGCGUGUAGGCGGUCCGGUAAGUCCGCUGUGAAAGUCGGGGGGCUCAACCCUCGAAUGCCGGUGGACUACUGUCGGGCUAGAGUGCGGAAGAGGCGAGCGGAAUUCCUAGUGUAGCGGUGAAAUGCGCAGAUAGUUAGGAAGAACACCGGUGGCGGAAGGCGG